CACGUAGGGGGCAAGCGUUGUCCGGAAUCAUUGGGCGUAAAGAGCUCGUAGGCGGUGUGUCGCGUCGGCCGUGAAAACUUGCAGCUUAACUGUGGGCGUGCGGUCGAUACGGGCAUCACUGGAGUUCGGCAGGGGAGACUGGAAUUCCUGGUGUAGCGGUGAAAUGCGCAGAUAUCAGGAGGAACACCGGUGGCGAAGGCGGGUCUCUGGGCCGAUACUGACGCUGAGGAGCGAAAGCGUGGGGAGCGAACAGG
rnacentral:rRNA from 1 species